rnacentral:lncRNA from 1 species
UACAUAGUUCAAACCUGUCAUGUCAGCACUGUACUUGGGAAGCUGAGGUGUGAGGGUCACUGAGUUUUAUGCUGGUUUGGGCUACAUAAUGACUUGCAGUUAUGCCUGAGGUACUGAGACUUUCAUGCAGAAGUGGCUAUUUCUCCUUCCAAACCUAAGUCUUACACCUUCAAAAGCUGGUCAGGGCACUUUCUCUUUCUGUAUAUGCUGGGCAUGACAAGAACAAGCCAACAGGAUUCAGCUCCCAGGCAGGGAGACACCAGUGCCCGGCAUCUAUGAUCAAUUCUGCUUUCCAGAGCUUGAAGCAGGUAACAGCCUCGAUUCAUGGACCUGAUAUGUGUACUUUCAUCUCAGAGACAGAAACCAGGCUUCAGUGGUGCUGCUCACUAGGGGCUAAGCAGGUGCUGGGGGCCAGAGAGCUGCCGUUUCCAGAGGACUCUGGGAAUAAAAACAUCUAACUGUAAUGUGAUGGCGUAUUCCAUUUUGCAACAUAGAUAGAGAAAUUUAAAUGAGAUAGAAUUGGAGUGAGUAUGUGCUUAGCAUACAGUCAACAUACAAGCUUUAUGGGUAUAAAAAAGAGAAACACUGUUCGACUCACUGCUUCAGAAUAACCCUGCUCCCUGCACGCCGGACCAGCCUGACAGGCGAGCUGCCUUGACUGCUUAGUGAUUCCCCAUCUGUCCUUGCUGUCCAUCAUCCCGGCAUCUUCGUGUCAGCAGGUGUGGUUUGCAGAUUCACACACACAGGUAUAUGCUGCUUGAGAUGUGAGUGGGGGACAUAUGUGCCUAUUCCUUGCUUGGACUUGUGCCUCUUCCUUACAUUUUGUCUCUGACCUCCUCAAGGCAACUGGCCGAAGAGCAGGGGCAAUUGUGUGUACAUCAGAUUCUGGCUUAGCUUCCCCAACAGUUUGGUUUUUUUGAACUGUCUCAAACCCACACAUCUCCCUCGCUUUGAAAACAAAUCAAGAAAUGAGGGAAGUUUGUAUCUACAUAGAGGCUGAAGUGAGCCACCGGGGGCACGGAUCGAAGAGCAGGUCUGCUCACCUUCAACAUGAGUUCCAUCGCCUGGAGUGUAGGCCCAACUCGGUUCCGUGCUGGCUUUUCACAGUAGGAAAACGUCUUAAUGUGGUGCCUCUUGAUUUCUAACAUCUGUAAUAAAUUCUAAUAAAGGAAGCCUGGCCCUUA